rnacentral:rRNA from 1 species
CAGCAGCCGCGGUAAUACGGAGGGUGCAAGCGUUAAUCGGAAUUACUGCGCGUAAAGCGCACGCAGGCGGUUUGUUAAGUCAGAUGUGAAAUCCCCGAGCUUAACUUGGGAACUGCAUUUGAAACUGGCAAGCUAGAGUCUUGUAGAGGGGGGUAGAAUUCCAGGUGUAGCGGUGAAAUGCGUAGAGAUCUGGAGGAAUACCGGUGGCGAAGGCGGCCCCCUGGACAAAGACUGACGCUCAGGUGCGAAAGCGUGGGGAGCAAACAGGAUUAGAGACCCCUGUAGUCCCUGUCUCUUAUAC